AGUAUAAUGAGCAUGGUUGCCCCCAGUUCCUGUGGACUGGGACCAGCACAGGACCAAGACUGCCCGACCUCCUCCAGAGCAGUGCAUCCACUGCACAGUCAUCGUAAUGGACGUGGCACUAAGGAGGAUUGUCCAGCCGCAGAUGACGCUGAAGAACCGUUAUAAGUCGCUAACACCAGUCUGCUUCAGCAGCUUGGUUGAAAUGGAGAUUGGAUGAUGCACUGUGCCCAACUAAUCAUACACGUGAUGCCUUGAGAGGUCGGGGUCAGAUUGUGAGUACUCCUCUGUUUUCCUGAUCCGAUGUGAGGUCAAAGGUCAGGGAUGUCUAUGUGUCCAGAUUGUAAUGCACUCCGAGACAAAUUUGUAAAUUGUGAAAAUGGGCUAUACAAAUAAACUGAAUUGAAUUGA